UCUGUACAACUUUCGACUCAA
rnacentral:piRNA from 1 species